AAGACCAAACCAGACUUGUGUAAUCUAACUGUACAUACUUUGGGGUGGCCUCAUCUCUCUCUCUAUAUCAAAAUCUUGUUUCUUUUUUGACUUUCAUAUUCUAAGUUUUAAUCUUUUUGCAGCUUCCUUUGUUGAAUGAACCAACACCAAACACCAAACCAAACGGAACCUUAAAAUAAAUUUUUUCAAUCCUUUUUCCUUCUUUUCUUCUUGGGGUUUUAGUCGGUUUCGAACCUUCAAAACUCUUUCACAAAUCUCACCAGUUUUGAACCUAACGCACCAUUUUUCUUUCCAAGUUUCUCUCUUUCUUUAUCUCAUAACUCCAACUGCUUCUUCCUACAUUCUUUUCCGUUCAUGUUUUAUGAGCUCUUUUCCUCAUGGAAUUCGCUCGACAGUGUCAUUGAAGAGUUGGAUAAAAGCACUGUUGCUCAAGCUGGAUCAUUCUGUAAAGAGUUUACCUGGACAAUUAAUUUGAAGAAAUCAAGUGGAAUGCAAUUUGCAUAUAAAAAGGCUAUGUAGGCAUACUUCAAAGGUGCAGAUUUUGUUGAAAGCUCCUCGGAUAACAGCAUUAGGUAUGCCGAUGUUUUUAAAAAUGUGUGUUUCCCUCUUAUAUUUGAUCUUUUCCAUGUAUGUUUAUAUUUUUCAUUAUAAUUUUCCUUUCAUUUUCUUCUCUUGCCAGUAGAUCAUAUUAUGAGCACUUAUUUUUUCUUCUUAGAUGAAGUUGGACGUCCCGUGUUAUCCGUCCAACAUAAAUUUUGAUGUCAAAAUUGGAACUUAUGGCCCAACAUUUGAAGGGUCUUUCCAUUCUGUUUGAGUGAUGGUUAGCCAUCUGAUAUUUUGAUAUCAGUUCGUAGUAUUUGGCUGUGGUUAGUUUGUUUAUUCAAUAGGAUGUAAACCACUGUUUUCUCAGCAGCUUUUAUAUUGUUUCACUUUCAUUGCCAUUAAAAAUUGCAUAUCCUGAUUAUUUGGUGGAACAAUGGUGUGAUUUUAUUUGGAUGACUUCAAUCUGUUUGCAUUUCAUUCUCUGACUACUCAUUUUUUCUUGUACUUACUCUUUCUCCCUUUGGCAGCAGUUUGACAUAUGCACAAUGUGUUUUUUUGAUGAUUAUGUUUUACCAGAAUUUUGAUAUUUGUGUUUAACAUGAAAUUAUAGAGAUAUGUCCAGUUUUCAGGGCCUGCUGAAAAACUGCUUGUUACAUAUAUAUUUUGGGAUAAAAGAAUGAAUUUGAUCUUUAUAAUUCACUUGCAAUUAGAGAUAAUGCUAUGUUUUCUGAAUACGGACAGAUAAAAAUUGAAGGAUAUAGAAUUGGUUAAAAACCUUUAAGGUUUUUUAUGUCUGAAGUGUUGCCCAUUUGUUGAGAAUCUAUGGUCUUUCUCUUUUGUUUUGCCUUUCCUCUCAACUAGUUCGGGCUUCGGUCCUCUUCCUACCUACUGCAGUUAGGCAUGUCCUGCUCUGGUCACAUAAAUUUGUGUUUGGUUCUUGCUAUAGCUCCUUCCAAAAAUUAUGUUGAUUCUAGGGAUCCUGCAGUUGUAGUACUUUGAUGCAUGCCAGUAUUUUAGACUAGUCUGUAGUCCUACCCAUCGAGACUGGCAGGUCAAGGA